AGAGUUUGAUCCUGGCUCAGGAUGAACGCUGGCGGCGUGCUUAACACAUGCAAGUCGAACGAUGAUCCCAGCUUGCUGGGGGAUUAGUGGCGAACGGGUGAGUAACACGUGAGUAACCUGCCCUUAACUCUGAGAUAAGCCUGGGAAACUGGGUCUAAUACCGGAUAUGACUCCUCAUCGCAUGGUGGGGGGUGGAAAGCUUUAUUGUGGUUUUGGAUGGACUCGCGGCCUAUCAGCUUGUUGGUGAGGUAAUGGCUCACCAAGGCGACGACGGGUAGCCGGCCUGAGAGGGUGACCGGCCACACUGGGACUGAGACACGGCCCAGACUCCUACGGGAGGCAGCAGUGGGGAAUAUUGCACAAUGGGCGAAAGCCUGAUGCAGCGACGCCGCGUGAGGGAUGACGGCCUUCGGGUUGUAAACCUCUUUCAGUAGGGAAGAAGCGAAAGUGACGGUACCUGCAGAAGAAGCGCCGGCUAACUACGUGCCAGCAGCCGCGGUAAUACGUAGGGCGCAAGCGUUAUCCGGAAUUAUUGGGCGUAAAGAGCUCGUAGGCGGUUUGUCGCGUCUGCCGUGAAAGUCCGGGGCUCAACUCCGGAUCUGCGGUGGGUACGGGCAGACUAGAGUGAUGUAGGGGAGACUGGAAUUCCUGGUGUAGCGGUGAAAUGCGCAGAUAUCAGGAGGAACACCGAUGGCGAAGGCAGGUCUCUGGGCAUUAACUGACGCUGAGGAGCGAAAGCAUGGGGAGCGAACAGGAUUAGAUACCCCAGUAGUCC
rnacentral:rRNA from 1 species